rnacentral:rRNA from 1 species
UGAGGAAUAUUGGUCAAUGGGCGCAAGCCUGAACCAGCCAUCCCGCGUGCAGGAAGACGGCCCUAUGGGUUGUAAACUGCUUUUUCAGGGGGAGAAUUUUUCUGUCGUGACAGGAAUUGACGGUACCCUGGGAAUAAGCAUCGGCUAACUCCGUGCCAGCAGCCGCGGUAAUACGGAGGAUGCGAGCGUUAUCCGGAUUUAUUGGGUUUAAAGGGUGCGUAGGCGGAUAGAUAAGUCAGUGGUGAAAACCUGCAGCUUAACUGUAGACUUGCCGUUGAUACUGUCAGUCUUGAGUAUGGUCAAGGUAGGCGGAAUGUGUAAUGUAGCGGUGAAAUGCUUAGAUAUUACACAGAACACCGAUUGCGAAGGCAGCUUACUGGGCCAUUACUGACGCUGAUGCACGAAAGCGUGGGGAUCGAACAG